UAGGGAAUCUUCCACAAUGGACGCAAGUCUGAUGGAGCAACGCCGCGUGAGUGAAGAAGGUUUUCGGACCGUAAAGCUCUGUUGUUGGUGAAGAAGGAUAGAGGUAGUAACUGGCCUUUAUUUGACGGUAAUCAACCAGAAAGUCACGGCUAACUACGUGCCAGCAGCCGCGGUAAUACGUAGGUGGCAAGCGUUGUCCGGAUUUAUUGGGCGUAAAGCGAGCGCAGGCGGAAGAAUAAGUCUGAUGUGAAAGCCCUCGGCUUAACCGAGGAAUUGCAUCGGAAACUGUUUUCUUGAGUGCAGAAGAGGAGAGUAGAACUCCAUGUGUAGCGGUGGAACGCGUAGAUAUAUGGAAGAAUACCAGUGGCGAAGGCGGCUCUCUGGUCUGCAACUGACGCUGAGGCUCGAAAGCAUGGGUAGCGAACAGGAUUAGAUACCCUGGUAGUCCAUGCCGUAAACGAUGAGUGCUAAGUGUUGGGAGGCUUCCGCCUCUCAGUGCUGCAGCUAACGCAUUAAGCACUCCGCCUGGGGGAGUACGACCGCAAGGUUGAAACUUUAAAGUGAAUUGA
rnacentral:rRNA from 1 species